rnacentral:sRNA from 1 species
UCAAUCAAAGUUAACAUGCAAUAAUUGU